CACGUAGUUAGCCGUGGCUUAUUCCUCAGGUACCGUCACUUGCUUCGUCCCUGAGAAAAGAAGUUUACAACCCGAAAGCCUUCUUCCUUCACGCGGCGUUGCUGGGCCAGGCUUGCGCCCAUUGCCCAAUAUUCCCCACUGCUGCCUCCCGUAGGAGUCUGGGCCGUGUCUCAGUCCCAAUGUGGCCGGCCAACCUCUCAGUCCGGCUACUGAUCGUCGCCUUGGUGGGCCGUUACCCCGCCAACUAGCUAAUCAGACGCGAGUCCAUCUCAGAGCGAUAAAUCUUUGGCAGCCAGAGCCAUGCGACUCAGCUGCAUUAUGCGGUAUUAGCACAAAUUUCUUUGUGUUAUUCCCCAUCCAAGGCAGGUUACUCACGCGUUACUCACCCGUCCGCCACUAAACAGUCCUCUCAGUUGUCCGAAAACUCCUUCAAGGGUGUUCCGUUCGACUUGCAUGUGUUAAGCACGCGCCAGCGUUCAUCCUGAGCAGGAUCAAA
rnacentral:rRNA from 1 species